rnacentral:rRNA from 1 species
GGGAUAGAUCAUUGCAAUUGUUGGUCUUCAACGAGGAAUUCCUAGUAGACGCAAGUCAUCAACUUGCAUCGAUUACGUCCCUGCCCUUUGUACAC